CAGUCAGUGGAGGGGCUGAUCGGGUAGGGAAUUUUGACACCGCAUUUACCGGGGAGACCGGAGGCAAGGCCAGGGUUGAUGCCAGGGAUCUGCUGGGCGGCAUUCUUAAUACACUGGCAAGCUUGCUGGCGGUCGGGCUUGGUGCUGGCCAAACUGUUCAGCCCCUUCACGCCACUGCAGCACUUGGGUGGCACCGCCCCCCCGCUCUUCAGGUAUGUCACGCAGGGCGCCAGCUUUGACUGCACCAUCCCACACGUUAUCGCCGCCUCUGCAUACGGCGCCACUGCCACCGCCACCAUGCACAGCACCGCAAUGCAAGCCACCUUGUAACUAACCGCUGCCAUUAUCUUAGUUUCAAAAACACAACCAAAUAUUAAGUCUCAAACACUCUCAAAUGUUU
rnacentral:lncRNA from 1 species